rnacentral:rRNA from 1 species
UGGGGGAUAUUGCACAAUGGGCGAAAGCCUGAUGCAGCGACGCCGCGUGGGGGAUGAAGGCCUUCGGGUUGUAAACUUCUUUUGCUCUGAACAAGGCAUGCUAAUGGGUGUGUUGAGUGUAGGGGUUGAUUAGCGCCGGCUAACUACGUGCCAGCAGCCGCGGUAAUACGUAGGGCGCGAGCGUUUUCCGGAAUUAUUGGGCGUAAAGGGCUUGUAGGUGGCUGGUUGCGUCUGUCGUGAAAGCUCAUGGCUUAACUGUGGGUUUGCGGUGGGUACGGGCUGGCUUGAGUGCAGUAGGGGAGGCUGGAAUUCCUGGUGUAGCGGUGGAAUGCGCAGAUAUCAGGAGGAAUACCGGUGGCGAAGGCGGGUCUCUGGGCUGUUACUAACACUGAGGAGCGAAAGCAUGGGGAGCGAACAGG